GCCUUCGUGGUAUAGUGGUCAGCACACUGGGCGCAUAAUCUAGAGGUCCGUGGUUCGAUUCCCGGCGAAGGCG
rnacentral:tRNA from 1 species